AGGGGUAUAGUUUAAUGGUAGAAUGAGGCUCUCCAAAAGCCCAGAUGUGAGUUCGAUUCUUACUACCCCUGCCA
rnacentral:tRNA from 1 species